CGGCGCGUGGCGCAGCCUGGUAGCGCACUACCUUGGGGUGGUAGGGGUCGGAGGUUCGAAUCCUCUCGCGCCGACCA
rnacentral:tRNA from 11 species